UAGCUCAGUGGUUAAGAGCACUGUCUGCUCUUCCAGAGGUCCUGGGUUCAAUUCCCAG
rnacentral:tRNA from 1 species